AAGGCCAGCAGCUUCUUUUUUGUCAAGCUGCCUGCUUGCCAGUCACCUUGUAGAAUCAAGCCUUCCCCAAGGAAAGCAUCCAUUGGAUUUUAUGUCUACUGCCUGAAAUCACAAGGAGGCAGAGCCCGCUCCUGCCCUCUGGAAGCCAAUGAGAGAACUCCUUGACUUCACUGGGAACGCGUUCAAGUAAUGAUUCAGGAUAUUUAUAUGAGCAUCUGCAAUGUGUGUAUGCGAAAGGGAAGCGUGCAUCCUCUUAUCUCUCCCACACUUUACCUGUUGUCCUACUGCCACCGCUUCCCCUGAUAUCCCGUGCCUCUACAGCCCACUCAGACAGAAAUCCUCAGGUUAAUAAUGGUAAGUACUGAUAAGAUGAAAAAGGCAAUAAAGUGUGCUCAAAGGGGCACUCUUUGAUCUCUCAGCAAUAUUCUACUUCCACUGAUCUCGAGUGCUGUCAAUACUUUAAUGACACAAACAACCUGGCCCAGAGGGUGCAGAGCUGGUAGAGCUGCAUCACUCUGUGCUAUGUCUCAGCCUGACCACUGCAAGUUGAAACUGAAGGAAUGUUUUCUCUUUAACAAGUUUCAUGAGCAAUAGAGCGAGAUUCGUGUGGGUUGGUUUUUUUUCCCCACUGAAAUGAAUGUCUUGGUCCUAUUCACACAUCCUCAGCUUUUCGCUAGCCCUCCUCUGCAGGAAGAUAUCAUUUAAAUAUUACUUUAGCUGUUUUAUUUUUAGUAGUUUUAUAUUUUAACUUUAUUUGCAUGGGAUAAAUAAACAGUUAAUGAGCAUUUUAUAUGAGCAUGUGUAGCUAACAGUAAGCUUUCCCACUGUUAGACUAUUCCUGCAAAACAUUGCAAGAGUUUAGGGCUGAAAAUUUUCUUGUCCAAGCAAGCACAGCCUCAUAGAAUCACAGAAUCACCAAGGCUGGCAAAGACCUCCAAGAAUAUCUAGUCCAACCAUCAUGGAAGUGUUGUGCAGGACUUGAAGGGAAUGGUAGCCCUGAGCAGAGCUCAAUCCAUAGACCUCAUCCAUGCUGGAGUGUCUACAACCCCAGGCAGGGCGCUGUAAGGAAGAAGCACAGUUUGCUCCAGAGCUGUCUUGGAAGCUCUGCCCAGGUUGCCCAGAUGCUCAGGCCCUGCUGACCUGCUCCAUCUUCACCCACUCACAUAGACAAUCACUGGGAACUUCUAAUAUUCCUUCCCUUGACAUAAAUAUCUGUAGGUUUCUGGAUGGUCUGAGUUCGAGAACUCAGCAGAAAAGUUGGUUACAUAUCAGUCUUUGAGUUUCAGAUACUUAACAGGGAAGGAUUUUCUUGUAGCUGAACUUUCUCUUAUGAUAAUGUGUCAAGUCUGAUGAGAUCCCAAUUGCCUCCUUCACAAUUGGAUCAUCUUCACCCUUUCCCUCCACCAACUGCUGUCAGUAAUGCAAAUGCAUGUGAAGAGGUUUAAAGAGAAGGGAAGGAUUUUCUCUCUGAAAACAAAAUAAAUUCCUCAAAAACAAAUUUGUAAAGGACUUAGAUUAUCAAGAUCAUUAAAUCACACAGGUUUUGAAAUAGCACAACCCUCAAAUGUUAUAUAUGCACAAGAAGUGUAACCUUCCUUCCUCAUAUUACCCAACACUGAAAUUAGCUACAUUAUUCCCAUAUUUUUUCUAGAUUCUUUUCAUCAUUCCUUUUGCAAGGCCGUAGCGUAGGGAGGCACACUUCUUUGACCUGACUCACCAUACCAGAAGAGCAAAUUCAAUAUGGGAAUACAAAUCCACAACCAGUCAAAUGGGAGCCUAUCCUUGACAGAGGAAACUCCACGCUUACAACUGUGGCUGCUGACCUAGGCAUACAAGAUAUGUAUGUACAACUUCAUCUCAGAAUCAACAUCCGAAUUUGCAGCAUGAUUUCAAGUUAAUUUUGGAGAAAAAUAACAGACGUAUUAAUUCAUUUUUAUAAAUGGGGCAAAAAUUAAAACAUGGAAAACCUUCCCGACAGCUGAUUGCUGAGCAUUUCCCUGAUAUUUUGCAUCUCACAGUGAGCUUCAGCUAAUUGUCAGUAAGGAACCUGAAACACUUUCUAAGCAGAUUUAAAAGAGAGUUAGAAGAGCAUCAGUAAACAAUUAAACUACAGUUUUAUGAUGACACAGAAUUUAGUAAUGAGGCUUCAUAUUUGUUUCCAACACGCAAUAGAUUUGAAAUAAACCCCAUUCCGUGUCAGAAAAAAAGCAAAGCCUGAAUUGACAGUGCAGCAGAGAAUUUAUUUUUUCCCCUUUUCUCCCAAGCUGAAGUUAUUAUCACAACUGCUAGAGAAUUUGUGAGAUUGGGAGAUAAGAAUCAUUAUGAUCCAUUGGGGACUCGUCAAUCACAGCAAACUGCUACCAGAAUCGAAAUUGCAUCUGCAUUUGAAUUAGCAACAUUACUCGCCAAUUUAGUUCAGAGUGAACAUUUUUCCAUUGAAGAUGGAAUUAAAUUAGAAAAUGAGUGAGUCUUUAAUUUCCAGAUUAUAAAUCACUGAAAAUAAUUCAACUCCUGUACCUUAAGGCCAAUUACAUUAUCCUAAGCGACAUUUUAUCUCACAACCUUCCAAGUGAUUUCAUGAUGGGGAACCAUCACACAAAUCAGUUUUGCUCUAGUAGCAAGAAAUAUAUCUACCCACAGAGUUAGACAUAAAAUACUAGGAACAGUUUUAAUGCUGUAGCUUAUUUUACAUGAAAUUUGAUUGUCUGUUUGAUAGUAUAUUUUCAUGUAUUAAUGAGCUGAUGCAUAUACCAGAAAUGGUCAAGUUAGGUGACCAAAUCAGAUACAAAAUGAAAAAAGUCAGAAGGAAUUUACUGGCUUAUUGAAUUUUUGCCACUACCAUGCCACAGUCCUCAAUAAGAACAUAACGGAGUACUUGUAAUACAAACAACAUAGAGAUUUAAAGUCACAGGGUAAAAAAAAAAACCUUUUUUCCUAAGUGCUCAGUGUUAUCAACAGCACAAAACAACAAUGAAAAUAAUAAGUAUUUUGUUUUGGCAUAUAAUAGCUACAAUUCGAAUUGUUCUUAAAGGAGAAAUCAAUCAUUUCUAAGUAUAAAUAUUUUUGGUGAGUUUUCUUUUUUCCUUCCUUUUUGCAAGGGCAGAAGAGACUCUCAACAACCUGGCAGUACCCAUUCUCCAUUAAAAAAGAUGCAGCAUAAAAUGAGAGCUCUUAUAAAUGGAAUGGCCAUGCCUGCAUAUACACAUUCGUUCAAGUCAACUAUAAUCAGGUUGCUAUUGAUACCCUAAUGUUCACACAGAACUCUUAGAACAUCUGUCUGCAAAAACCUUGAAGGAACUGUGCCAUCAAAAGGAACCUAGAGAAUCCCAGUUUUCUGUAUGAUGUGAUAGUGGUUAUGUGACCACAAAGGAAAUAAAAUUGGAUCUAGUAGAAACACCUGUGGAACAAGAUAGUUAUCAUCCAGCAAGCAGAACAUGCAAAGGCUCAGUCCUUAUCCUUCUUGUAAGCUUAAGUUCCUGUCCACAUUAAAUCUAUGAGAUCCAUCCUGAAGUUAGGCACCUAAGCAAGCUGCUUCUCGCAGGUCAUAAGAGCAAUAAGGAAGAGUUAUUGGGCAUCCUGUCUGCAAGGCUCUGAUUUUGACAUGUCCUCUUCCUAAAAAUAUUUGAACACCUGCUCCACUUCCAAGAUGUUCUCCUCAAUGUCAACAUUUACAGCUGGAUCCUCCUAAAUGCCCUCCCUACUUAUGAGUGAGAAUCAGACUUUUCACUUGAAGUGAGUAUGGUUCCAUCAUCACCAUUACACCCAUUUUACUUUGACUUUUCUUAUACAAAACUUCAAGCAUAAAUCAUGCUCACAGGCUCACCUAUCAUACAUAAAUCCAGUGGCAAACAACUGAAGCUAAUUGGUCUUGUCCUUACACUGAGCUUGGAAGGCAGUUUUCAUGGUGAGCAAAGCACUGAGAAACACUUCGAGGAUCCUUACUCAGGAGCUGGAUGUGUGAAAAGAAACGUGUUGGACAUUUUCUCUCAUCUCUUCCCUUUAAAUCUGGAGUCUUCCAAGGCUGUCUAAAGACUGUCCCAAUGCACUGGAAAGAGAACUACAGCUUGAACCCAGAGUCCUACGGUGAAGAGAGAAGUCCAUCCAUACAAUGGUUUAAACCUUUUCCUUAUAAAUGAAGAUACAGUCCUUUGGACAGAUAAUUUUCUCACAAAAUUAAUUGAACCAACUUUCUGUUAAAUUUAGUCUCUAAUUCCCUAUAAAUACAUUUUUUACCAACUUUUUUUUUUUUUUAAACCAUUUUGUCAUGCACUACAGAUGCUACCCAGAAUUCAGCAAUGCCAGAGUAAUUGAAAACUGAAUAAAAUUUCCCAUCGAGAUAAAUUUUAGUUUUGUUCUGCAAUACUAUUCUAUUAUUCUGUUCGUUUAACUUUUGGAAGGUAGCAAAAUAACGAUAAAUAUGGGAUUGUUGUGUUUAAUUGAACAUAUAAUGCAAAGAUGCUGUUUCUCAAGAUAUUCUGUACCCUUUACUUCCAUUUAAUUAUGUAUGAACUCAAAAAAAAAACCCUCUCAAAUAAUGUGAGACGUCUACUAGGGGAGAAGAUUUAAAGAUGAUAAAUGUUAUUUAGAAUCACUGUGAUAUGAUUCAUAUUGUGAUGCAAUUGGGAACAAUAUUAAAACCCACCAAGGCUAUUAUACCUAAAUUUUUGUUUCAAUUCAUGCAAUAUUGCUGCUGCUUAAUAUGAUUUCUAUUUACUUCUUUCCAUUGUUAGUGUUUUAUUGAGGUUGUGUCGGCUUUAUCAAGCUAAUCUUUGCUGCAAAUGGAGGUCAGCAGAGCCAAAGCACUGGCAAAAAGCCUGUCUCCAUUAUAUUCCUCUCAGUAUGAAUUUGCUUGAAAAUCGUCUCUAAUACAAACUCUUUCUUCACCAUUCUUCAAUUAUAAUAUUUCUACCUGCACAAACCCUGACAGCUUGAUAUUUAAAAGCUAUAUGAACUCUCACAAUCUAAUUUUAUAUUCUUUAUGAAGAGAUACUGUACAUCAUUUAAAGUAACUGUGAAAGCAUUAAUCAGAAGGCUUAGAAUUAUGUAAUCUUGGCCACAAAUAAAAGCUUGAAUUUCAGGUAAUUUUAAUUAAAACUUACAAACAUACACAGCUACUUUUAUUGACAAUGACAGUAAGUCAUUAAUUUGCAUUCUUUGAGUGUCGAGGUGAAGGUAAGUAAUCCUGUCAUGCCCUUGCUGGAACACAAUUUGGCAAAACAGGAUAUUGUAGAAGCUUUAUAAAUCUUAUAUCUAUAUUUCUCCCUGUACUGGUCUAGGAAAUAAUGAAAAAGAGCAUCACAUAAAUUUACCUACCAAAUGGGGUAUGCUCUCUCCUGAAUACCCACACACAACUUCCAUUAGUAUAAAAUAUACAUGCACACCAAGGGGAAGGAUUGUCUACCAGAUAUACAAAGGCCUAGAAUAACAGCAGAAUUAAAGUCCCUUUAGUAACUUCCAAUCCACUCUAGAUCACUGGGAAGAUAUAUUUGUUAGUUUGAGUUAAGCCUUGAACCUAAAAUACUUGCAUAAAAAUAACUAAAGGUACACCACAAUGGAAUAAACUGAUCCCCAGAGAGAGUCUUAGAUCUGCUUUGGUUUAAGUUGUUAGGUUUGCAUAGUGUUAAUUGUAGUUUAAAAUCAAGGAAACUCUAUUUAAAAAGAAAAACCAACAAGCCAAAACCCUCAAAGUUGUUUUUCAGGACUUUUUGUAUUAAGUUUCUAAAUACAUUUUGGGAUAGGUGAUUGAAAUCUGACAAAAAAAACCCACAGCAUUUUAUAAUAAUGUCCCGCAGCAAAACUAUGGCACCAAUAACUAAACAAUACUUUAUCACCUUUGCCACUCUCAACAGCUCCCAUUAAUACUGAGAUCAUAGUGUUAGGCCUUCUAUUCCCCAGCUGACCAUGUUAGUGACAGCCAGGGCUUGGGCAAUGACAGUGAAAAAUAUUUGCUAUGACACAGCCACAAAUCACUGUGAGACAAGUUUAAAACUCAAUAUUCACUGAUCUUGCAUCUGUUCUUUUCUUGUUAGAACAUCAACAACACAUUUAUUAUAAGUUGAAUUCCUCAAAGUAUCAAAGCAUUGAUGGAAAGUGAUAAAAAUUAUUGUCUGAUAAAACUAGGUGCACAGAGGGGCCUUUGUCAAGUCAAUUAUUCACACGAAGCUAUCGUCUGAGAAGGAAUCAGAAUGUCUGACAAAGAGAUUUUACUAAGACUGGUGUUCAUUUACAUAAAAAGCACCCAGCGCAUGAACACGUAAAUCAAAUUUUCUUAAUGGUCGUAUCAUACAAGUAUUGAUUUCUAUUUCCAUCUCUCCCUGGGAACCUAAGCAGACAGAUGACAUAGUAACAGCUACAGGACAUUGUUGUUUUGGAUUUGAACAAGACUCUUCUGAAGCUUGCCAUUUCUGGGCAUGGUGGUUAGUAGAUGUCCUAGAUACACAGCUCCAAGAGAAGGUGUAAUGCUUUGAAAUCACCAGGAGAUCUGAUCAAACAGAACGGCAGGUAGCCUACAGCAGAUCUUCUGGUAUUCCUUACUAUAGGAAAUUUUGGAGAAGAGCAUGAACAGGACCACAAUAGUAUCAGGCAAACUGAAUGCCAACAAUUCCAUAUACAGAUGCAUAUAUAAAAGAAAGAUGGCAGUGGUGCACCUCACCCAUAUCACUAAUCCAGUGAUAACAAAAGCAGGAAAAAAUAAGGGGUCAGUAGACUGAAGGUGGACUGGAGAUAUUUAAAAUUCACCUGGAAAUUUUCUUGUGCAACCUACUGCCGUGAAUCUGAUUCUGUGACUGCAAAUACUGACCCAGCCUCCAUAUCUCUGCUCCCUCGUGAGCACUUCUUGUCGCUGUUGCCUGAUUACAGGACAAGGCAGAUUGCUGGUCUGAUGCAGCAAGGGCUGUCUUGUGUUGUCAAAGGGCAAAAGUUGUUUCUAACACAUGCUGAACUCCAUAUCAAAAUUCUGUAAUCAGAUUUCUUCUGGCCCACAUAUUCUAGUAGAUGAUUUUCCUGAUGAAGAAUGUCUUCAGUAAUAGCAAACUUUUGGAGGCAUUGAAGAGGCUGCUCAAGAAGGGGAAUGAUUAAUUCUCAAUAGCAAGUUUUGCAGCAUAUUGAAUGACACAUUCUUACAUUAUAUAUUGAUAUAUAGCACACUGGCCCUAUGCCAUACUGACCAGCAGGUCAUUUCCAACAAGGCAUCGUUUAUAGAUAAUGCAAUAGGUAAGGGACAGAGCCAUAAAUGCUGGCUCUUUCAGUUGCACCAAAAUCUUCUGGAACUUCAUUUUGGUUUGAAUGAUGACUGUCUCGGCUACUGAUAUUAAGCAGAGGCAGCAAUAAAUGUGUGCAAGACCAAUCCUGUCCCUGCUUCCCUGAGGCAAGAGGCAUAGCCUGCAAACUUAAAUUUAAAUAAAGCACAGAAAGUUAGACACUUGUCUGAGGGUCAAUCAAACUUAUUUAAUCAAAAGUUUCUUACAGGUUAGUAUGCCUGACUUCAGUUUAACUGACAAGUAUGUAACACACGUAUUAGUGCUUUUUGCACUUCCCAGUACCUGCAAGAACUCAUACCUAAAAUAAAGUUAAAAAAUGCAUACAGAAUACCCAUAUCACUAUAGCUGCUUCAAAAAACAUAUUUUCAUUGAAUAGUUACAAUUUUUACACCAUCUGCCUCAUUUUUCUAACUUAAGUGUUUGUCCUUAGCUCUUUAUGACCUCUCUUAGGGUAACGCUAUAAUACAAUGUAAAGUACAGCAGCAGUAGCAGGGUGGCACAACCCCAGGCUGCAGCAAAUGAGAACAAGACCAAAGGCAGCAACCAUAGAGGCAGAAACAAAAAAAAGAAAAACUUGCUUACCUUUAGAUGACCUCCAAUACACAGGGAUCUCCAGCAAAAUACUUUUGCCUUCACUGCUAAGCCUUAAAUAAGGUCUGGGAAUGGGUGGAUCCUGGCUCCAGCCCUUCCGGUCACUCAGCCACAUUGCAUGCACCUGAGCUGCCCUGGGUUGGCCCUGCCU